AUGGCAACCGGGCCCCAUGGAUCAUGGCGGUCCAACGAGACACCAAUGAUACCAAGCCCACUAUACACUUGCUCCUUCUGCCCUAGGACUUUCACAAACCUCCAGGCUCGUGGUGGACAUAUGACGAAACAUCGUCAAGAGGUCCUAGAGAAUAGGAGGAAGCAUGAGGAAUACAUGGCCAAAAAGUCCAAGGAGUUCUCGAUGGACCCACUAUCACCAAACAUGGCUUAUUGGAGAAGGUAUCGCAAGGGUAAGGAGAAGCCUGAAGAGAUUAUAUUUUUUCCAAUACAAAUGUCCAGGGAGUUAUCUGAAGAUGAUGGUGGAUCAAGCAAUGUCCCCAUGCCAUAUGGGAGUGUGGCAACUAAUACCUCUAUGAUGUUGACCGUGGAAGAUAAGGAGAAAGGAGAUCAAGACGAGAACCUGAGCAUUGAUCUUACAUUGAAGUUGUGA
rnacentral:rRNA from 1 species